UCGAGCGGGAAUAGGUAGCUUGCUACCGAUUUCUAGCGGCGGACGGGUGAGUAAUGCUUAGGAAUCUGCCUAUUAGUGGGGGACAACAUUUCGAAAGGGAUGCUAAUACCGCAUACGUCCUACGGGAGAAAGCAGGGGAUCUUCGGACCUUGCGCUAAUAGAUGAGCCUAAGUCGGAUUAGCUAGUUGGUGGGGUAAAGGCCUACCAAGGCGACGAUCUGUAGCGGGUCUGAGAGGAUGAUCCGCCACACUGGGACUGAGACACGGCCCAGACUCCUACGGGAGGCAGCAGUGGGGAAUAUUGGACAAUGGGGGGAACCCUGAUCCAGCCAUGCCGCGUGUGUGAAGAAGGCCUUUUGGUUGUAAAGCACUUUAAGCGAGGAGGAGGCUACUUUGGUUAAUACCUAAAGAUAGUGGACGUUACUCGCAGAAUAAGCACCGGCUAACUCUGUGCCAGCAGCCGCGGUAAUACAGAGGGUGCGAGCGUUAAUCGGAUUUACUGGGCGUAAAGCGUGCGUAGGCGGCUUUUUAAGUCGGAUGUGAAAUCCCCGAGCUUAACUUGGGAAUUGCAUUCGAUACUGGGAAGCUAGAGUAUGGGAGAGGAUGGUA
rnacentral:rRNA from 1 species